GUGCUUGCUUUGGCAGCACGUAUACUAAAAAUUGGAAUGAUACAGAGACAAUUAGCAUGGUCCCUGUACAAGGAUGACAUGCAAAUUCAUUAAGUGUUCCAUAUUUUU
ensembl:snRNA U6 U6 spliceosomal RNA